GACACAAGCUCUUAAAGCUAGUAUUCCAAUUAUAUAUAUAUAUAUAUAUAUAUAUAUAUAUAUAUAUAUAUAUAUAUAUAUAUAUAUAUAUAUAUAUAUGUUCUGCUAAUUGGAAUACUAGCUUUAAGAGCGUGUGUC